rnacentral:rRNA from 1 species
AACGCGAAGAACCUUACCUGGGCUCGAACGGCUCACGAACGUCCUUGGAAACAGGGAUUUCCCGCAAGGGACGGGAGUCGAGGUGCUGCAUGGCUGUCGUCAGCUCGUGUCGUGAGAUGUUGGGUUAAGUCCCGCAACGAGCGCAACCCUCGUCCUGUGUUGCUAAUCCGCAAGGAUGCACUCUCAGGAGACUGCCGGCGAUAAGUUGGAGGAAGGUGGGGAUGACGUCAAGUCAUCAUGGCCUUUAUGUCCAGGGCUACACACGUGCUACAAUGGACGGUACAAAGCGCUGCCAACCCGCGAGGGGGAGCUAAUCGCACAAAACCGUUCUCAGUUCGGAUUGCAGGCUGCAACUCGCCUGCAUGAAGCUGGAAUCGCUAGUAAUGGCAUAUCAGAACGAUGCCGUGAAUACGUUCCCGGGCCUUGUA